GGCAGCGCCUGAGGCUGCAAACGGAGCAGCGUGCGAGA
rnacentral:SRP_RNA from 1 species